GACGAACCGUGCGAACGUUAUUCGGAAUCACUGGGCUUAAAGCGCGUGUAGGCGGAAGGGCACGUCCGUUGCUGAAAUCCCCCGGACUCAACCGGGGAACGGGCGCGGAUACGACGUCUUCUGGAGGGGCGUAGGGGGACCUGGAACUUCCGGUGGAGCGGUGAAAUGCGUAGAGAUCGGAAAGAACACCAACGGCGAAAGCAACUCUGCUGGGCCGACACUGACACUGAGAGACGAAAGCUAGGGGGAGCGAAUGGG
rnacentral:rRNA from 1 species